UACGAACGCUGGCGGCGUGCUUAACACAUGCAAGUCGAACGGAAAGGCCCUGCUUUUGUUGGGUGCUCGAGUGGCGAACGGGUGAGUAACACGUGAGUAACCUGCCCUUGACUUUGGGAUAACUUCAGGAAACUGGGGCUAAUACCGGAUAGGAGCUCCUGCUGCAUGGUGGGGGUUGGAAAGUUUCGGCGGUUGGGGAUGGACUCGCGGCUUAUCAGCUUGUUGGUGGGGUAGUGGCUUACCAAGGCUUUGACGGGUAGCCGGCCUGAGAGGGUGACCGGCCACAUUGGGACUGAGAUACGGCCCAGACUCCUACGGGAGGCAGCAGUGGGGAAUAUUGCACAAUGGGCGGAAGCCUGAUGCAGCAACGCCGCGUGCGGGAUGACGGCCUUCGGGUUGUAAACCGCUUUCGCCUGUGACGAAGCGUGAGUGACGGUAAUGGGUAAAGAAGCACCGGCUAACUACGUG
rnacentral:rRNA from 1 species